AGUUAUGGUGUUCAAAAUAUACAAAAGAAUUUGCAAAGACUCUGAUGGAUAAGGACGUACAUUCUCUGAAUCCUGUCAGGUGAGCAAUCAACCCUGAGAUUGUUUUGUACCCGGCACCUCCUUGAGACUUUUUACACUUUUCGGCCCUUGGGAAAAGUCAAAAUAAUAGAUCAAAGUAAAAAUUUGACUUCAAAUUUCUAUGUGUUGCUUAGGGUCUACACUUUAAAAUUGAAACAGUGAUUACCAUUCAUCUCUGUGUCAAGUACCCUUGUAAUGCAAUGUUUCGAAAGAAACUUUGUAGUAAUGUAAUAAGGGCAAAAUUUGAUAAGUCGUACAGUCAAAUGUACCCCACGAUCCCGAAAUCGUGAUGGUGUUAUUGACAUGUUAGAAGAAGUUCUUGAAGUUUUUGGUAAUUUGUAUAGUAAUUAAUAUAAUAAAAAAAUAUUGCCUAAAGAGAAAACGGGUAUUGGUUACCUCUCUUCCUUCUGAAAUUUGCCAGUGAAUAAUUAAUGAGAUUACACCAAUAUGGCUGCCUCAAGUCUCGUUAUCUCGUGUUUGAAACGAUCUAAAACUCUUUUGUUUUUUAUAAUGACCAAUAACAAGGCUUAAAUUUUUUACUUAAUUUAAUACGACGUUUCGGAGUUUACUCCAUCAUCAGGUAAAAACUGAAAUUUGCCAUUUUGGCAAAUUUGAAUAGUUUUUACCUGAUGAUGGAGUAAACUCCGAAACGUCGUAUUAAAUUAAAUAAAAAAUUUAAGCCUUGUUAUUGGCCAUUAUCAAAAACAAAAUAAUAUAUUAUUCAAAUGAGGCAAAGGGAAAGUUCGAUACUAAAUGUACUGAAGGAUCUAAAACUCAUUAGAAGAGAUGUGAGAAGCUAUAUCUUUCUAAUUUCGUAGAAAACGAUAAUAUCAGCUUGAUAGCACAACUAAUUUAAACACGUAUAACGAUUUGGUUCAUAAGGAGUGUGACAGAUUUAAGAAUCUAUACAAAACAAGUGUAGCUCCAAAGAUCGAUCUUUGGAGUUACAUGCACUUGUUUUGUAUUCUUUGAAAAUAUUCAGUGGUUCUAAAAAUCUAUCCUCAUUAUAAAUAUUCUGGCUUCAAAAUCAAUUCCCUGAAUUCAACAGGCUAAUUGCUCUAUCCAGCCCUAGUUUGGAGAUCAGUGCCCAAAAGUGUCUAUACAUUUGAAGUUGACGGUUGACAAUCAUGUGUGAUACAGUAUAAACCUAGCACAUGAUCAUCCCCUAACGUAUAUUAAUUUGGUUUUUUGCUUUAAAUUUCAGAGUACGAGUUCCACUGUCCAACUUUCCUGAGUUUAGUAAGGCAUUUGGAUGCCCGGCCCGGAAAAACACUUGCGCGGUUUGGUAGUUCGGUUUUAGCUAUAUAUCCCUAGUUAAUAGAAAAUAUAGGCCUAUACAUCGUGAGGGCUUAGACUGGUGAUCUUCGAAGAAUUUCAGUCUUUGAAGAUCACCAAUCUAAGACCUUUAGUUUGCUAAGAGUUUUGCUAAUUAGGAAACUUAAGGUGUAGUACGAAUCUUUUCAGUGUCUUAAGCCCAUUUACACUUACAAUUUUGGUCGUUCCUAAGUCGAGAAAAAGUUUACAAGAUGGCGACUAUUUUUUAACAUCGUUAGAAUAUGAAAAACAACAGCAAGGUACUUAAAACAAUCC
rnacentral:lncRNA from 1 species